rnacentral:rRNA from 1 species
CCUACGGGCGGCAGCAGUCGAGAAUCAUUCACAAUGGGGGAAACCCUGAUGGUGCGACGCCGCGUGGGGGAAUGAAGGUCUUCGGAUUGUAAACCCCUGUCAUGUGGGAGCAAAUUAAAAAGAUAGUACCACAAGAGGAAGAGCCGGCUAACUCUGUGCCAGCAGCCGCGGUAAUACAGAGGUCUCAAGCGUUGUUCGGAAUCACUGGGCGUAAAGCGUGCGUAGGCUGUUUUGUAAGUCGUGUGUGAAAGGCGCGGGCCCAACCCGCGGACGGCACAUGAUACUGCGAGACUAGAGUAAGGGAGGGGGAGGCGGAAUUCGUGGUGUAGCAGUGAAAUGCGUAGAUAUCGGGAGGAACACUCGUGGCGAAGGCGGGUUGCUGGACAGUAACUGACGCUGAGGCACGAAGGCCAGGGGAGCGAAAGGGAUUAGAUACCCGAGUAGUC